rnacentral:rRNA from 1 species
AUACGUAGGUGACAAGCGUUAUCCGGAUUUACUGGGCGUAAAGGGCGUGUAGGCGGUCUUGCAAGUCAGAAGUGAAAUUCCUGAGCUCAACUCGGGCGCUGCUUCUGAAACUGCAGGACUUGAGUGCUGGAGGGGAUAGCGGAAUUCCUAGUGGAGCGGUAAAAUGCGCAGAUAUUAGGAAGAACACCGGUGGCGAAGGCGGCUAUCUGGACAGUAACUGACGCGGAGGCGCGAAAGCGUGGGGAGCAAACAGGAUGAGAUACCCUGUUAGUCCACGCCGUAAACGAUGAAUACUAGGUGUAGUGGGUAUCGACUCCCUCUGUGCCGCAGUUAACACAAUAAGUAUUCCGCCUGGGGAGUACGGCCGCAAGGUUGAAACUCAAAGGAAUUGACGGGG